rnacentral:rRNA from 1 species
AAUGGUAAAAGAAUGGAAAUUUAAAAAAAAACUUUUUUAAAAAUAAAAAUUGAAUUUUUUUUAAUUUGUGCAAAAACAAUUAUAUUUUUUAAAGACAAGAAGACCCUAAGAAUUUAAGAUUUUACAAUUAAAAAGUUUUUUUUUUAAAAUCUUGAUUGGGGCGAUCAAAAAAUAUUAAUAACUUUUUAAAAUUAAAUUGAUCUAUAUAUAGCCUAAUU